GGUCAAGAGCGAUCAGCGAGACGCCCUCCGCGUGCUGGUCCGGCAACCGCGCAACCUCGCGCACGGUGCCCCGGAGGAAGACCGGCCCGGCGGCGACCGCCGCCGGGAAGUGCGAAGG
rnacentral:ncRNA from 2 species